CCUACGGGGGGUAGCAGUCGAGAAUCAUUCACAAUGGGGGAAACCCUGAUGGUGCGACGCCGCGUGGGGGAAUGAAGGUCUUCGGAUUGUAAACCCCUGUCAUGUGGGAGCAAAUUAAAAAGAUAGUACCACAAGAGGAAGAGACGGCUAACUCUGUGCCAGCAGCCGCGGUAAUACAGAGGUCUCAAGCGUUGUUCGGAAUCACUGGGCGUAAAGCGUGCGUAGGCUGUUUCGUAAGUCGUGUGUGAAAGGCGCGGGCUCAACCCGCGGACGGCACAUGAUACUGCGAGACUAGAGUAAGGGAGGGGGAACCGGAAUGCUCGGUGUAGCAGUGAAAUGCGUAGAUAUCGAGAGGAACACUCGUGGCGAAGGCGGGUUCCUGGACAUUAACUGACGCUGAGGCACGAAGGCCAGGGGAGCGAAAGGGAUUAGAUACCCUUGUAGUC
rnacentral:rRNA from 1 species